rnacentral:lncRNA from 1 species
GCGGCAAGUGUGGGGCUGUGCGGUGUCGGGGAGGCAGCAGGAAGACGCACAGUGUGUUUGAGCAGCACCAGGAUGGAGGAGCCCACUGGGAACCUUCCCACCCGGAGAGACGUCAUUCUUUCCGAGUCGUGCUGGGAUCACAUCACCAUAACAAACCUGGUGGAAGUGCUGAGAUCUUUGGUGGCUUUAACUGACCCUCAGGAGGGGAAGCUGACUCAGUCUCAAGAGAAAGCACUAAACUCGCUGGGCAUUUGGAAAACUGUAUUUAGAGCUGUUCCUGGGUCUGCAUCAAAGACCGC